ACGAAGUUGAUGUAUAAAAUGGCC
rnacentral:siRNA from 1 species